rnacentral:lncRNA from 12 species
AAUAGCCAGUCUAGUCUGUAAUUUUAACUUGAUUUAUUUGAAUUAGUGAAAUCUUCAGUAAAUACAUCUGGGUACACUUCUUAAAUAUUUCCCCAGAAAGAUUAAACAUCUGUUUACUUUAACUCCACUAGCGCUCACAGACUUUUAAUUGCAGUGCCUGACAAACUCCUCAAGAAAGGAGAAGUAGAGAAAGAGGAAGAGAAGGUCACUCCUGUAGAGAACUGUUGCCCUGAGUGGGAGCACUGAUUGCCAUGCUCCACCUGCUCAUCUGAAUGUCAGCUCUGUACAAAGAAGCUGAAUGUACACAAUGCCAAACACCACCUGAAAACUUUAUUGCUGCUGUCAGCAACUUCUCUACUAGUUCAGUUUGAGAGAGCAAAAGCAGAGGGGUAAGACUGAGAUGUUCUGAUAACUUACUGAUGAGAGUGUCUCAUACAUUAACAUUUCAGCCUGCUUCACUUCUCUUCCUAUAUUCACUUUGGGAUAUAUAGAAAAUAUGGCUAUAAUAAUGUUGUCCUUUCUUGUCUUCUUUCACAAACAUUAAUCCCACGAUUUUUUAUCAGUACAAAAUAACCCUGGA